CUGCCCGGUGAUUAAAUUUUAACGGCCGCGGUACCCUGACCGUGCAAAGGUAGCAUAAUCAUUUGCCCUAUAAUUGAGGGCUAGUAUGAAUGGUUUGACAAGAAUUAGACUGUCUCUAUAGAAAUUCCUAAAAUUUAUUUUUUGAGUGAAGAAACUCAAAUAUUAUUGAAAGACAAGAAGACCCUAUUGAGCUUUAAAAAUAUUUAUAAAAUAAAAAAGAUUGCAAAAUACUUUUAAUUGUUAAAAAUUUUGGUUGGGGCGACUAAGGAACAAGCAAAGCUUCUUUUAAACAACAAAUUUAUAAAUUUUGAUCCACUCUUAGUGAUUAAAAGAGUUAGUUACCAUAGGGAUAACAGCAUAAUUCUUUUUGAGAGUUCAUAUCGAAAAAAGAGUUUGUGACCUCGAUGUUGGACUAGAAUAUCCUGAUAGAUGCAGAAGUCUUCAAGGGUUGGUCUGUUCGA
rnacentral:rRNA from 1 species